AUGCAGAGGGACAGGUGCAGCUCUUGCGGAUCAGGAUCCCCAAACGCUGCUGUACCCUGGCUACCCUGCUCGGCUCUGCAACAGAUCUCUCCUCUUGCUUGGGUCAGAUUUACUACUGCAGCCCGACACACUCCCAGGUGGCCCAGGUCAUGCAGAGAGUUCAAAAGAGCCCCUUUGGUAAAGAUAUCAGGCUGGGACAUGGAGCAGCUGGUGACCCUUGGGAGGGACACCCGGGCCUGCCCCUAUUACGGGAGCCAGCUGUGCCCAGGUGAGAGCAUGCUUGUGCAGGGGUUUUUGCUCUGUAGUCUGGGAAGACACCCCCCAAAUGGCAACGUUGGCCAGCUCUGAUGGGUCCAAGGGCGGGAGGCCAGUCAUUGGUAUGGAACCCUAGACUAAGUGGGUGAUCAUGAAGAAACUGAGGCACGCUUCUCCUCCCUUCCUCAGUCUCCUCCUUAAAUCUGGCCCUGCGUGCGUGAGGUGAGUAUAAGGAGUGGUAGACCUG
rnacentral:lncRNA from 1 species